GGAAAAGAUAAGAAUAAAGAUGUCGUCUAGACUGUUUCACCUACAACAUAGAAGAGCCCAUUUAGAUUAUAACUCCAUCUGUUGAUUCCCCGUCUUUGUCAUUGAAGGCGAACUGAGUUUUGAAGUCCAAGUUACGGGUUCAAAGAAUAGUGUGAAGAAUUAACUUGUACUUAAAACGUCGGUGACGCAACUGAAAUUAGGACAAGAACUAAAGUUUGGCUCAUCUCUGCAUAAAAUGGCGGCAGUUGGACCAUUGAUACUUUUCAAUUUCCUGUUCCUUUGUCUUCUACUUUGGAUCAACCCUGUCACUGCAUUUGUCACCCCGCUGUCGGGAAUUUUGUUUGCUAACAACUUCCACAAGUGUCUUUGGUUUAUAGGAUUUGGUAAAGAUGGAGUCGUUCGCGGCACCUUCGCUUCGUUCCUGAGCUCAAGAUCGGCCAAAUACAAGAUCGGCAUCAAGCUCGUCGGCACUCUGCAGUCCAUCGGCAUGACCCCGUGCCCGUUCAGGUCCUUGCUGAUCGGCGGCUUAGCCGGAAACGCCUUUCUCGUCGUGGUCAAAAUUUGUAUUGGCCUCCUCGCAUCCCAGAACACGUUGGAAAAUGAUUGGUUUUUCUCAAUCGUGGAGUGGUUGGCUUCUCCUAGUCGCGGUGUGGUGAGUAACAAAACAGUGGUGGAGACGGUCCGGACCGCUCUUCAAGUAUACCACGAGCAGUGAACUUAUGACUUCAAGAAGUCAUAAGUCAAGUCAAAUAAAUUAAUGAUUUCAUAAAGUCAAAGUCAAGUCUAAUAAACUGAUGAUAAUAUUCUAGAAAUCAAAGAAAAAGAGAAAAAAAUCAAGUCACUUAAAACAUCACGAUUGGCUUUUUUUUUUAAAAAAAAAAGUAGCUGUAACGUAAAAACGUGUAAUGUUUCAGGCAAAGGAUGCCUUUCUCCAUCAUGUAUGUUAUUUACAUCAAAGGUUAUUUAAAAUAUAGAUUCAGAAUAAAACUAUUUCUUAUUUUUUACCUUGUGUGUAGGUUUCGCCUGAUUGUAUAGUAAAAUGUAUUUGUAACAUUUGAAAGAAUAUUAAAGCAAAUAAAAACAUG